GGGAGAAAUGUUUGCAGAGCCAGAAACAGAGCAUAGAAACAGAAGAGGCAUGGAGCAAUACCGUGUCAAUGCAAAACAAGGGUUACAAGUUUCAGGUAAAGAUGACAAGAGAUGACAUCAAAAAUCCUGGAAUAUUGCAUAUUCUCAAUAAAGGAAGAAGCAAUUGUACAACUCAUCCAACACCAAUCUGGUCACUGCUAUCAAAUUUGACAAUUUGGAUGAUGAAACAUUUUUUGUGACCUGGAUUUAUUAUUUAGUUUUUGGAGUUUAAUAAGUAAAACUAU